GGAGAGGGAGAAAUCCCAGAAUGGGGGGUGGGGGGAGUGUCUCUGGUCUGGAACAAAUGGGCAGGCCCCAGGAGGGACAGUGCAGAUCGGGGCAGACACAGUGUCCCAGGAGGCAGGGCCAGUGAUCACGAGGCAUGUGGAGUCAGCCUCUUGGUAUGAGGCUAAGGAAGAGUUUCGGAGUGGAAGAAAAGGAAGUAGAGGAGGGAAGAGUUUGUAAUCAACUCCUGGGAGGAUGAGGACUCAGAGGAGAAGACUUGAUCAAGAUACACAUGGGCAGGAUGGUACAGCCUUGUGCUGGGACCUUUCAUGGCUGUGCUGGAAGCUGCUGGGAAGCCUUCAUUAACUCUCCUGUGACCUGAGGGGUGUAUAGUCCUUCUUCCUCGUUUGCUGUUAAGGAAACCCAGGCCUUGUCUGGAGGAUGACAUGGCUGAAUGAGCACCUCUGGGCCCCCUGACUCACGAGUGAGUUUUGGUGGGGGCAGGGGACUCGAUGGGUGAGACUACUUUGUGGUCUGAGGGUCUGCC
rnacentral:lncRNA from 1 species